UGGACAAAAAUUCCGAACUCCAGAAAUGGAGGCGGGGGACGCAUUUUUGGGGCGAAUCUGAAUUUCAGAUGGGAGAGCCCAAUCCCUAGCCCGUCAACUAACCCCGCAGGAACAAAGGGGCAAUGGU
rnacentral:sRNA from 1 species